GAUGAACGCUGGCGGCGUGCCUAACACAUGCAAGUCGAGCGAACCUUUCGGGGUGAGCGGCGGACGGGUGAGUAACGCGUGGGUAACCUGCCCUAUACACACGGAUAACGUACCGAAAGGUACGCUAAUACGGGAUAAAGUUGUUGGAUGGCAUCUUCUAACAAUCAAAGCUCCGGCGGUAUAGGAUGGACCCGCGUCUGAUUAGAUAGUUGGUGAGGUAUGGCUGACCAAGGCGACGAUCAGUAGCCGACCUGAGAGGGUGAUCGGCCACACUGGAACUGAGACACGGUCCAGACUCCUACGGGAGGCAGCAGUGGGGAAUAUUGCAAAAUGGGCGAAAGCCUGAUGCAGCAACGCAGCGUGGGCGAUGAAGGUCUGCGGAUCGUAAAGCUCUGUCCUCAAGGAAGAUAAUGACGGUACUUGAGGAGGAAGCCCCGGCUAACUACGUGCCAGCCGCCGCAGUAA
rnacentral:rRNA from 1 species